ACAAAAUCAGAUCUAGUUGGCAGCCAGGAAAACACCUCAGAGGAUUAUCCUGAGGGAUACAGUGCUUUCUGCAAAGGGUUCCUUGGUCCGUGUGAUGCUCACCACCAAUGGCUGCCUUCUCUGCUGCUUCAAUGUACUCAUUCCACCCCCUACCCAACCCUAGCAGUGUUGUCUCCAACUGAAUUGUCAUCUUCAUGCAGAAGCCUCCUUCAAGCCCAAGAACAAAGGUGAGUCAAACCACCACCACCACCACCUUGACCACCAUCUCCACUCAGACUCUGACGAGGACAGCCCAGGACCUUGAAACCAAGACUUGACUUGGGGAUAGCAGUGUCCUCCUAACCAUCAGGCCUGCUUCCAGCCUAGUCCCUGAAGACAUCAUUGAGAGGAAAAAUCAUUAUAGACCCCUAUGGGCAGUGUGGUAAAGACUAAGUACCCCUUUGUGCAAGAACGUUUUUAAAAUACAUAACCUAAAAUCCACAGGAUUACACAUGAACUGAUGCAGAAUGAAGUAAGCAGAGCCAAGAAAACAAUACACCCAAUAACUACAGCAAUAAAAUGGAAAGAGCCACCACACACCACAACAAUCAGAAGUGGGAUGCUGCAAAAUUUGCAAAGCUCAAGCGGGACUUAAUGAAGAGGUAGGAACAGUCACCCCCAACCUACCCCUUCAAAGAGGCACGAGGUCCACAGGUGUUACACGUUGCACCUGUUUGGGGACUUUUUCAAUGUAUCCAUCAGUUGUGCCAAUUAAUUUUCCCCUCAAAAAAAUACUAUUUGUUAUAUGGGAUGGCUCUCUGGGAGGGAGAAAAGGAGGGAUACUGGGGAUCCUUACAAUGAUGUAAGAAACAGGAGACACCAAUAAAAACUUAUAAAAAAGGAAAAAGCUAUCAGAAUACUAAAAAAAUAUAUUUACAACCCCCAAGUUAAGAACCUGUUCUAGGAGGAACCAUGUGACUAUGGCUCACCUGACAUUAAAGGUUGGUUCUUUUUC